rnacentral:rRNA from 1 species
GGUUAAGCGACUAAGCGUACACGGUGGAUGCCCUGGCAGUCAGAGGCGAUGAAGGACGUGCUAAUCUGCGAAAAGCGCCGGCGAGGUGAUAUGAACCUUUGACCCGGCGAUGUCCGAAUGGGGAAACCCAGUGCAAUCCGUUGCACUAUCGUUAACUGAAUACAUAGGUUAACGAGGCGAACCGGGGGAACUGAAACAUCUAAGUACCCCGAGGAAAAGAAAUCAACCGAGAUUCCCCCAGUAGCGGCGAGCGAACGGGGAGCAGCCCGGAGUCUGAAUCAGCUUGUGUGUUAGUGGAACGGUCUGGAAAGUCCGACGGUACAGGGUGAUAGUCCCGUACACGAAAGCACACAUGCUGUGAACUCGAAGAGUAGGGCGGGACACGUGGUAUCCUGUCUGAAUAUGGGGGGACCAUCCUCCAAGGCUAAAUACUCCUGACUGACCGAUAGUGAACCAGUACCGUGAGGGAAAGGCGAAAAGAACCCCGGCGAGGGGAGUGAAAAAGAACCUGAAACCGUGUACGUACAAGCAGUGGGAGCCUCUUUAUGGGGUGACUGCGUACCUUUUGUAUAAUGGGUCAGCGACUUAUAUUCUGUAGCAAGGUUAACCGUAUAGGGGAGCCGAAGGGAAACCGAGUCUUAACUGGGCGUUAAGUUGCAGGGUAUAGACCCGAAACCCGGUGAUCUAGCCAUGGGCAGGUUGAAGGUUGGGUAACACUAACUGGAGGACCGAACCGACUAAUGUUGAAAAAUUAGCGGAUGACCUGUGGCUGGGGGUGAAAGGCCAAUCAAACCGGGAGAUAGCUGGUUCUCCCCGAAAGCUAUUUAGGUAGCGCCUCGUGAACUCAUCUUCGGGGGUAGAGCACUGUUUCGGCUAGGGGGCCAUCCCGGCUUACCAACCCGAUGCAAACUACGAAUACCGAAGAAUGUUAUCACGGGAGACACACGGCGGGUGCUAACGUCCGUCGUGAAGAGGGAAACAACCCAGACCGCCAGCUAAGGUCCCAAAGUCAUGGUUAAGUGGGAAACGAUGUGGGAAGGCACAGACAGCCAGGAUGUUGGCUUAGAAGCAGCCAUCAUUUAAAGAAAGCGUAAUAGCUCACUGGUCGAGUCGGCCUGCGCGGAAGAUGUAACGGGGCUAAACCAUGCACCGAAGCUGCGGCAGCGACGCUUAUGCGUUGUUGGGUAGGGGAGCGUUCUGUAAGCCGUUGAAGGUGUCCUGUGAGGGGUGCUGGAGGUAUCAGAAGUGCGAAUGCUGACAUAAGUAACGAUAAAGCGGGUGAAAAGCCCGCUCGCCGGAAGACCAAGGGUUCCUGUCCAACGUUAAUCGGGGCAGGGUGAGUCGACCCCUAAGGCGAGGCCGAAAGGCGUAGUCGAUGGGAAACAGGUUAAUAUUCCUGUACUUGGUGUUACUGCGAAGGGGGGACGGAGAAGGCUAUGUCAGCCGGGCGACGGUUGUCCCGGUUUAAGCAUGUAGGCGGAGGUUCCAGGUAAAUCCGGUACCUUAUUAACGCUGAGGUGUGAUGACGAGGCACUACGGUGCUGAAGUGAUAAAUGCCCUGCUUCCAGGAAAAGCCUCUAAGCAUCAGGUAACACGAAAUCGUACCCCAAACCGACACAGGUGGUCAGGUAGAGAAUACCAAGGCGCUUGAGAGAACUCGGGUGAAGGAACUAGGCAAAAUGGUGCCGUAACUUCGGGAGAAGGCACGCUGAUGUGUAGGUGAAGUCCCUGCGGACGGAGCUGAAAUCAGUCGAAGAUACCAGCUGGCUGCAACUGUUUAUUAAAAACACAGCACUGUGCAAACACGAAAGUGGACGUAUACGGUGUGACGCCUGCCCGGUGCCGGAAGGUUAAUUGAUGGGGUUAGCGGCAACGCGAAGCUCUUGAUCGAAGCCCCGGUAAACGGCGGCCGUAACUAUAACGGUCCUAAGGUAGCGAAAUUCCUUGUCGGGUAAGUUCCGACCUGCACGAAUGGCGUAAUGAUGGCCAGGCUGUCUCCACCCGAGACUCAGUGAAAUUGAACUCGCUGUGAAGAUGCAGUGUACCCGCGGCAAGACGGAAAGACCCCGUGAACCUUUACUAUAGCUUGACACUGAACACUGGUCCUUGAUGUGUAGGAUAGGUGGGAGGCUUUGAAGCGUGGACGCCAGUCUGCGUGGAGCCAACCUUGAAAUACCACCCUUUAAUGGCUGGUGUUCUAACGUAGACCCGUAAUCCGGGUUGCGGACAGUGUCUGGUGGGUAGUUUGACUGGGGCGGUCUCCUCCCAAAGAGUAACGGAGGAGCACGAAGGUUGGCUAAUCCUGGUCGGACAUCAGGAGGUUAGUGCAAUGGCAUAAGCCAGCUUGACUGCGAGCGUGACGGCGCGAGCAGGUGCGAAAGCAGGUCAUAGUGAUCCGGUGGUUCUGAAUGGAAGGGCCAUCGCUCAACGGAUAAAAGGUACUCCGGGGAUAACAGGCUGAUACCGCCCAAGAGUUCAUAUCGACGGCGGUGUUUGGCACCUCGAUGUCGGCUCAUCACAUCCUGGGGCUGAAGUAGGUCCCAAGGGUAUGGCUGUUCGCCAUUUAAAGUGGUACGCGAGCUGGGUUUAGAACGUCGUGAGACAGUUCGGUCCCUAUCUGCCGUGGGCGCUGGAGAAUUGAGGGGGGCUGCUCCUAGUACGAGAGGACCGGAGUGGACGCAUCACUGGUGUUCGGGUUGUCAUGCCAAUGGCACUGCCCGGUAGCUAAAUGCGGAAGAGAUAAGUGCUGAAAGCAUCUAAGCACGAAACUUGCCCCGAGAUGAGUUCUCCCUGAGACCUUGAGUCUCCUGAAGGAACGUUGAAGACGACGACGUUGAUAGGUCGGGUGUGUAAGCGCAGCGAUGCGUUGAGCUAACCGAUACUAAUGAACCGUGAGGCUUAACCUU